rnacentral:rRNA from 1 species
CCUACGGGGGGCAGCAGUGGGGAAUAUUGGACAAUGGGGGGAACCCUGAUCCAGCGACGCCGCGUGAGUGAAGAAGUAUUUCGGUAUGUAAAGCUCUUUCAGCAGGGACGAAAGAAGUGACGGUACCUGACUAAUAAGCCCCGGCUAACUACGUGCCAGCAGCCGCGGUAAUACGUAGGGGGCAAGCGUUAUCCGGAUUUACUGGGUGUAAAGGGGGCGUAGACGGCACUGCAAGUCAGAUGUGAAAGGCGCGGGCCCAACCCCCGGACUGCAUUGGAAACUGUAUGUCUUGAGUGCAGGAGAGGUAAGUGGAAUUCCUAGUGUAGCGGUGAAAUGCGUAGAUAUUAGGAGGAACACCAGUGGCGAAGGCGGCUUACUGGACUGUAACUGACGUUGAGGCUCGAAAGCGUGGGGAGCAAACAGGAUUAGAUACCCUUGUAGUC